GACCCGGAUUUGAGCUGUUAGUGCUGCUGGCAAGAACACGUAACGUUAGCUAGCUAACAGAGCUCGAWAUGCAACAUCUCAAGGAAAAAGGUCCCUUUCUUCCCCCAGCGUUCUUGCGUCUUCUGGUUCCUCCGCUGCGGCUGGUGUCUGCAGCUCUAUGGCAGGUUGUUUCGCGGAGACGUCGUGGACUACGGCUCGGUGGAGGAGUUUGUCAUCACUGUGUUGGACUAGUCCCGGAUCUGAUGAAUUACAGAGAGAAAGUCCAACUCAUCAUGGGCUGAGAGCACAGCUGGUUCUGAAGUUGCUGCAUCUCAGAACACCUAGCCGACUCUGACAUCCUCCAGUCACACCUGAAUAGAAUGAAACCUGCAGCAUCACUCAUAGGGACAACCAGGUGAG